rnacentral:sRNA from 1 species
ACUUCUGCCUGGCUGCCAAUGACCAAAACAAUGUGACCAUCGUGGCUAACCUGAAGGUUAAAGGUCAGGCGACCCUUGCCACGUGGCUGGCAGUGCCUCUGGGAGGGAGGGUCCGGGCCUCUGGAGGACAGCAGUGUGACUUCCCCACGCACGCAUUACCCUCAGAUGCAACUCAGAUCACUCAGGGGCCCCGCAGCGCAAUCGAGAAGAAAGGUUCGAGGGUGACCUUCACGUGCCAGGCCUCCUUUGACCCCUCCUUGCAGCCCAGCAUCACCUGGCGUGGGGACGGUCGAGAUCUCCAGGAGCUUGGGGACAGUGACAAGUACUUCAUAGAGGAUGGGCGCCUGGUCAUCCACAGCCUGGACUACAGCGACCAGGGCAACUACAGCUGCGUGGCCAGCACUGAACUGGAUGUCGUGGAGAGUAGGGCACAGCUCUUGGUGGUGGGGAGCCCCGGGCCGGUGCCACGGCUGGUGCUGUCCGACCUGCACCUGCUGACGCAGAGCCAGGUGCGCGUGUCCUGGAGUCCUGCGGAAGACCACAAUGCCCCCAUUGAGAAAU